GCCCAGGUGGCGGAAUUGGUAGACGCGCUAGAUUCAGGUUUUAGUGAGCGAAAGUUCGUGGAAGUUCGAGUCUUCUCCUGGGCACCA
rnacentral:tRNA from 1 species